CUGCAGUUUAGAAGAUGGCUGAUAAAGAAACAGAUUCUGGAAUUAAAAAUUAA
rnacentral:snRNA from 1 species